rnacentral:rRNA from 1 species
GACGUUAGGAAAGCGAGCGGCGGAUGGGUGAGUAACACGUGGGGAACCUGCCCCAUAGUCUGGGAUACCACUUGGAAACAGGUGCUAAUACCGGAUAAGAAAGCAGAUCGCAUGAUCAGCUUUUAAAAGGCGGCGUAAGCUGUCGCUAUGGGAUGGCCCCGCGGUGCAUUAGCUAGUUGGUAAGGUAAAGGCUUACCAAGGCGAUGAUGCAUAGCCGAGUUGAGAGACUGAUCGGCCACAUUGGGACUGAGACACGGCCCAAACUCCUACGGGAGGCAGCAGUAGGGAAUCUUCCACAAUGGACGCAAGUCUGAUGGAGCAACGCCGCGUGAGUGAAGAAGGUUUUCGGAUCGUAAAGCUCUGUUGUUGGUGAAGAAGGAUAGAGGUAGUAACUGGCCUUUAUUUGACGGUAAUCAACCAGAAAGUCACGGCUAACUACGUGCCAGCAGCCGCGGUAAUACGUAGGUGGCAAGCGUUGUCCGGAUUUAUUGGGCGUAAAGCGAGCGCAGGCGGAAGAAUAAGUCUGAUGUGAAAGCCCUCGGCUUAACCGAGGAACUGCAUCGGAAACUGUUUUUCUUGAGUGCAGAAGAGGAGAGUGGAACUCCAUGUGUAGCGGUGGAAUGCGUAGAUAUAUGGAAGAACACCAGUGGCGAAGGCGGCUCU